CUGAGAGCUGUGUGACCUCCUCUGCCUUCUCCAGUCUGCAGGGAGUGGAAGGUGCAGAGCAAGCUGGGUCCUGGGACCACAGUGUCGGCAAAAGAAGGCCUUAGAACUAUGCAUGCUGCUUCAUGCUUGUGUGUAUCAGGAUUGUGUAAGACUCUAGUAUAUUUGUGCCCUAUGAUGUGGGGCUGCCAUGGCUCCUCAUCCCAGCAUGGUGCCAGUGACAGGAAGUGGACAAGCUGAUCAUGAGACUCCUUCAGAGCCUCCAGAGGGCGCUGUCUAAAGGUCUCCCUGCCCACUGUGGAGGUGGAACCACAGCUUUGCGAGCCAGAGUUCCAUGCUCCUGGUGACCCCAGCCUUUGAGAGUCUGUCUAGAUGGCAACAUGGGAGACUUCUCUGUAAGCUACCCUUCCUCCCAUCUAGAUAGCAAAUCAUCUCUCUACGCUGUGACUCUUGCCUCCUCUCUUGCCUCUGGGGGGCUUCUAUGUGCCCCCUAUUUAAAGCCGGUUCUGUUGAGCACGGCUGGCAAGUGCAUAAAAGUUCUCCCUGAGUCUGGAGCCUAUAGCCUCUCUUCCCUCAGCCAGCAAGAGUUUGUCUACCAGCAUAGUGCCCACCACUGCUGCAAGCCCUCUCGACAAUCCUACAGGCUUCUUCCACCUGCUAAGCGCCCACUUCCUCACUCCCACCCAGUUCACCUGGCCACUCCUGAGUGGGAGCACUCUCAGCACCCUCUCAGGGGCCUGACUUUGAGUUAUCUGGGCCAGGUGGGCCUGGCUGCCUUUAACCAAAGCGAAGUAUGAGAGUAAAUUCUGGUCUUGCUAUGCUGUGGGUGACGCCUUUCCACCUUCCCGGUCCCUGCUUUCUGGCCCCAUUCCUCACUGCUCCUACACAUCUUGCUCGCUGUGCUCUCCUCAACGUACUGCCCUCCUACCUGCAGCUCCCACCUCUGCCCCAUCCCCAGCCUCAUUUCUUCAAGCUUCCUGGGCCAGACUCCCUAGAAAGCUUCGAGCCAGAGGUCUUGUGUUUUGGAGGGAGCGUGGCUACAAUGAUCCUCCUGCUGCGCCCCGCCCGCCCCCCCAAACCUCACCCGACCAGGCAGCUGAGGACCUAGUGA